GAAACCCGUCUUUUAUUUUUAAAAAAAAAAAUUCAUAUUAUUGAUUUAUAAUCGUUAAAAAAAACCGCGUACAACGAAGUAAGAUACACUCAGUAUAAAAUUUUGUUAUUAUGGUGACACUGAUUUUUAGCAUUUUAUUUUUGUUUACAUACAAUUAUUACGCCUUGGUAUCUACAACUACCUAGAACCUACUUGUUUGAAUGUUUUCAAAAAACUAAUCACCUAACCUAAAUUUUUAUGUUUUUUACGUUAUGAUUCAAUGAUACAUUGACAAUAUUCCCCUUAUUCUAGUAUUAUUCUACUGUGCUAUUUCGCGUUCAUACUACGUACUUUUAGUUAUUAUUUUUUAUAAUUUAUCAUACUUAAUUGCUAUUUAUUAUUUUAAAAUGGAAUAUUAUUAUACAGGAGGAAAUAAAUGUUGUUUGGCAUUCUGUCCCAGUGUUUCUUACCUGCAUAAUAAAAAAAGAAUCCGAUUUCAUAGAUUUCCAAAAACACUUACAAGGUGUGCUAUUUGGAUUGAAAAAUGUAAUCCAAUACAUUUGCCUUCGUGUGAUCCUUUAGUUCUAAAUAAAACAUAUAGGCUGUGUUCUCUACAUUUUGAAGACAAAAUGUAUACCAAUAGUAAUAAGAAUAAGCUCAGAGCCAAGGCAAUACCAACAUUGUUUAGAGAAACUGAUGUAUCAUCAUUUGAAUCAAUCAACAAUGAUGCAAAUUUCAAUGAAAACAAUAGCGCAUUUAAUUUACCAAAUUUUUCAACUUCUCUUUCAACGAGUUCCUUUUUAGUUGAACCGUCAACAUUAUCGUCAAUGCCAACAUAUCAAACACAAAAUGAAGAUAGUGAAGUCACUCAUGUUUCAACGAGUUCCUUUUUAGUUGACUCGUCAACAUUAUCGUCAAUGGCAACAUAUCAAACACAAAAUGAAGAUAGUGAAGUCACUCAUGUUUCAACGAGUUCCUUUUUAGUUGACUCGUCAACAUUAUCGUCAAUGGCAACAUAUCAAAUACCAAAUGAAGAUAGUGAAGACACUCUUGUUUCAACGAGUUCCUUUUUAGUUGACUCGUCAACAUUAUCGUCAAUGGCAACAUAUCAAACACCAAAUGAAGAUAGUGAAGACACUCUUGCGGCAACAGAUGAUGAUCUAUGAAAACUUCAACUGUCCAACUUUCACGGUUAAUGAGACACAGUCUGGUGACAGACGGACGGACAGUGGAGCCAAAGCAAUAGGGUGCCUUUUUACGCAAGUGGGUCAAUUACAACAGAGCUUGGAGACAAAAUUUUCUCUUUAAGAAGACUUAACAACCAUCCAGUUAGGCAAUCAUGUAUUUGAAUACCUAUUGCAAUAAAAAUAUUCUGGAAAGUACUUGGUGAAGGAUGUGUUCAGCAUACUGUCCGCUCUUACUAAGCAAAAAUGUUGUUUACUUAAUCAAUAGUUAGAAAUUAAGAAGGUGCUUUUGAUUAUAUCUUUCUACAAACUGCAGAACAAAGAAACAACAUUAGAAAGUUAGUAUAUCCUCCUACACUAAGAAAUCUUUUACAGCUUUGUGAACGUCUUCAAUUAGAUGAAAUGAGUCAUUCCACUACAACAUUUCUGAUUUCAAACAUCAUCAUGUUUGUAAGUAGUUAAAAAGCUAUAACAUACAUUUAUAUAAUAAUAAUUUAUAAUUUAUCAAGCAAAACAAAUAAUUGCAUACAAUCGUACAAAAAUAAAUAUUAUAAUAAAAGUAAUAACAUGUUUGUAACAUCCUUCUAGGUACAAUAUAAAGAAAAUCUAGUAUUUUUAGAACUUACUUAAAUAAAAUAUUUUGUUAAGAAAUCAUAAAUAAUGAUAUUUUUAAUUUGCUUUCAUAUUCGGCAUUUUCAUUAUUAGCAACAGAUAUGGAGAUAUUAAGUCUAAGCUAUUUAUUAAAUGUUGGUACACAAAUAUUGAUGUUUUCUUUGUAAUUGGUAUUAAAAGAAUAAUUGAGCUUGGGCACAGUAUGUUUAUAUCAAUAUUCUUUCAUAGUUAUUUUAUUUUUAUUUUUAUUCAUACAGUUAAUUAAUAUUUUGGUAUUUUAUGUAUAAAGAUUUUAUCAAUGACCACUGCUACUACUAGAUCGUACAUGUGUUGGUAUACUUUCUUACUAACAUUGAUUUCAUUAAAACAAUUGAGUUUGAAUUACAAAAUGUAAUUUACUCUAAAUAAGACUAUUUAUUGAUAAAAUCAUAAACUAUAAUCAUUUUUCUUUAGAUGUGAGAAUAGCUGGUUGUAAUGGAACCUUUGAAACAACAGUUUCAAAAACUUUAAAUGGGGAUUGCUAUUACCUGUUUGCUUUUCAAAUUAUUUACAAAAAUAUUGUUUUUACCAUUAACUGUAUACAUUACUUCUCUAGUAUAACUAUAUUAUUCUUACCGAGUUUCCCCCCUUCAGCGUAUGCAUUAUUGACUGGUAAAACGGAAGAAAUAUAUUUGGCAUUAUUCCAAAUUGUCAGUAAAAUUUUACCAUUAGAUUACCCUAAUCUAACAAUAAUCAAAGAUUUUUAGCUAGCCCAAAUCAAUGCAAUUAAACUAAUAUUCAAAGAAAGCGUUCACCAAGGUUGCUAUUUUCAUUUUUGUCAAGUAAUGAAUUUAUCCGGAGGUAGCUGAUGCAUUUCACUCAUUUAUUACAUAAUUAUGUUUUUAGUUUGUGCAAAUUCAUCCAAAGAGACUUACUAUCUUCAAUCAGAUUAUUAGGACAAACAAAUAUGUAGAAAGCUUUCACACUGCUCUUUUGAGGUUUAUUAAAACUCAUCCAAAAGUUUAUGAGUUCAUUGGUACAGUUUAAUAUGUCUGUGGAUUGCUUGUGUUUAUUUAUUUGUUAUGUGACUUAAAAUUGCUGGUUAAGUGGAAAGUCUAUGGCGUCUAUGCUAAUACAACUAUAAUAUGUUUGUUUAUUUGUAGUUAAAAAAAGUUUUAGAUAGAAAAAAAA